ACCACUGUACUCCAAUCUGGCAACAGAGUAAGACUCCAUCUCAAAGAAGAAGAAAAAAGGCCUAGCCUAUGAUUUCAAUUUACUUACAACUUUUCUUAGCAAGUGUUCCAAAGAAAUGUCUACUUGGAGCCCAGUCUCUUAGAGAAAAGGUGGGAAAAGACAGUGUCUUUCACCACAAAAGCAUAUUGCCGCUCCUGGUGGUUAUUUUCAAUGGUAAUGAACAAGCCAAACAGGAGAAAUUCUCCCAGCCAUAUUUCCUCUGGAGGGCAUUGGCAGCUACGGCUAAAUAAAGUUCAGAGCUCAGCUUCUAUUUGGUAUCAAAGCCCUGCUGCAGAUGAAGAGCAUCCCCCAUGAAAGCUGCUCUUUGUCUUUAGUGGCCGAGCCUCAGGCCAGCAUAGAAACCAACAGGGAACCCUGAGAGGAUGGGAGAGAGGACACUAGAGUCACGAUUCAACAGUGGCAGCUUACACAGGAGGAAGAAAAGAUCCUGGGACCUGGUUAUCUAAACUCCGUAAAAUGAGCUACGAGUCCUCAGUGUCCUCAAAUGGACAGAUUUAAAAGAUCUCAAACUUACACAUUCUUCAACUUUGGCUCAGUUUUGUUUGUUUUUAAAUAAUUUUACCUAGAAGCACCAUAAGGAGAAGCUUAUUCCUCUUUCUCAGUGGUAAAGCAAGCUAUUAAAGUGAU